rnacentral:ncRNA from 1 species
UAAAGGUUUGGUCCUAGCCUUACUAUUAAUUUUAGCCACACUUACACAUGCAAGUAUCAGCACACCCGUGAAAAUGCCCUCUACCACCCAUAAGUAACUGAGGAGCGGAUAUCAGGCACUUCUCUCGCCGAAGACAUCUUGUUCAGCCACACCCCCAAGGGAACUCAGCAGUGAUAAACAUUGAAAAAUAAGCGACAUCAAGCUUGAAUCAGUGAUGGCCACCCAGAGUCGGUAAAUCUCGUGCCAGCCACCGCGGUUAUACGAAAGACUCAAAUUAAUAAAGUCGGCUCAAAGGGUGGUUAGAGACAUAUAUAAAAUAGAACUAAAACCCAGCUCCGCUGUCGCACGCAAUAGAUUAAAAAAAUACAAAAUCGAAAGUAGCUCUACUGACACAACUUGAACCCACGACAGCUAGGAAACAAACUGGGAUUAGAUACCCCACUAUGCCUAGCUAUAAACUUUGACUAAUCCGCCAGAGUACUACGAGCAACAGCUUAAAACUCAAAGGACUUGGCGGUGCUCUACACCCCCCUAGAGGAGCCUGUUCUGUAAUCGAUAAUCCACGAUAAACCUCACCACCUAUUGCUAAUACAGCCUAUAUACCACCGUCCAGCCCACCCUUUAAGGGACAAACAGUAGGCAAAACUACAGACAUAAAAACGUCAGGUCAAGGUGUAGCACAUGAGGCGGGAAGAAAUGGGCUACAUUUUCUAACCUAGAAAACACGGAAAAGUCUAUGAAAUAAGACUACAAAGGAGGAUUUAGCAGUAAAAAGAAAAAAGAGUGUUCUUUUUAAGCCGGCAAUGGAGCGCGCACACACCGCCCGUCACCCUCUUCAAGCAAUUACCACAACAUUAAAUAAGCAAACCAUAAAAAAAGAAGAGGCAAGUCGUAACAUGGUAAGUCUACCGGAAGGUGAACUUGGAA